GGGCCCGCACAAGCGGUGGAGCAUGUGGUUUAAUUCGAUGAUACGCGAGGAACCUUACCAGGGCUUAAAUGUAGAGUGACAGGUCUAGAGAUAGAUUUUUCUUCGGACACUUUACAAGGUGCUGCAUGGUUGUCGUCAGCUCGUGCCGUGAGGUGUCAGGUUAAGUCCUAUAACGAGCGCAACCCUUGUCGUUAGUUGCCAGCAAGUAAAGUUGGGGACUCUAGCGAGACUGCCGGUGCAAAACCGAGAGGAAGGUGGGGAUGACGUCAAAUCAUCAACGGCCCCUUACGGUCCUGGGGCUACACACUGCUACAAUGGUAUGGACAAUGAGCAGCCACUACGCGAGUAGGAGCG
rnacentral:rRNA from 1 species